rnacentral:rRNA from 1 species
UACGGAGGGUGCUAGCGUUGUUCGGAAUUACUGGGCGUAAAGGGCGCGUAGGCGGCCGUUUGCGUCGGAUGUGAAAGCCCGGGGCUCAACCUCGGAACGGCAUUCGAUACGGGACGGCUGGAGACCGGGAGAGGAGAGUGGAAUAGCCAGUGUAGAGGUGAAAUUCGUAGAUAUUGGCUGGAACACCGGUGGCGAAAGCGGCUCUCUGGCCCGGUUCUGACGCUGAGGCGCGAAAGCGUGGGGAGCGAACAGG